ACAGAUGCUUUUACAGCUCGCAUUGGCGGGAAGUUCUGGCACAAAUGAAGUAUCUAUAAGGAGCAGCAGAGUCAAGGAAGACACCAGACAAAUGAGUUACACUGUUUUGGACUCCCCAACACAAUCCAGCCACCGGCUGAAUGCCACCAAAUUACCUUCUAGUUAAAGGUUUAUGGAGCAAACGAAUCACCUAUUCAAUAUCUGCUUGAAUUUCUGACUCAAAAUACAUCAGGUAUAAAAUGAUGUUUUUUUUUAAGCCAUUAAGUCUUGGGGGAGUUUAUUAUAAAGCAAUAGAUAAUUUUGAAAAUAAAUAGAACAAGCUGAAGUCCCAAUAAGAA
rnacentral:lncRNA from 1 species